UACGUAGGGGGCAAGCGUUGUCCGGAUUUAUUGGGCGUAAAGAGCGUGUAGGCGGCCAGGUAGGUCCGUUGUGAAAACUCGAGGCUCAACCUCGAGACGUCGGCGGAAACCCUCUGGCUAGAGUCCGGAAGAGGAGAGUGGAAUUCCCGGUGUAGCGGUGAAAUGCGCAGAUAUCGGGAGGAACACCAGUGGCGAAGGCGGCUCUCUGGGCCCUACCUGACGCUGAGACGCGAAAGCGUGGGGAGCGAACCGG
rnacentral:rRNA from 1 species